GUCUGUCUCCGACCUUCCCCCCCCCCCCCCUCUUUCUGAAACAAAGCUGAGAAAAUAAAACCCUAAAACGAAAAUGGUUCAAAGGCUCACCUACCGCACUCGCCAUAGCUAUGCUACCAAAUCGAAUCAACACCGUGUCGUUUAGACCCCCGGUGGGAAAUUGGUUUAUCAGACUACUAAGAAGAGAGCAAGUGGGCCAAAGUGUCCUGUCACUGGAAAGCGAAUUCAGGGUAUUCCUCACCUGCUGAACACAAGCAGUCUCUUUUGCCUCGUAACCGAAGGACUGUGAAUCGUUCCUAUGGCGGAGUUUUGUCAGGCAGCGCCGUUAGAGAAAGGAUCAUUCGAGCCUUCUUGGUCGAAGAGCAAAAGAUUGUGAAGAAGGUUCUGAAAAUCCAGAAGGAAAAGGAAAAGCAGUCCUCUAAGAGCUAGAUUUUCCUUCCAGAAAUUGUUUUUGCUAUACUGGUGAUUGAUGAAAUGUGGAACUGAAUUUCAGCAUUUUUCCCAUUAGGAAGUUUCAUACCGAUUAGUACGCUGCUCGCUCACUUGACUACGAAUCGAUUUUGAAGUUAUUGGUUUUAUUUUGAUCCUUGAAACUACUGUAUUGCUGGUGUUGCCCUCCAAAAUCGGCCUUGGUGAUGUCGGCAAUCAUCGGAGGACUCAUCAGCAUGGAAGAGGCUUCAAGGGUGCACUUGGUGGACGAACCAGACAUCAACAUCAAGUUGUUUUGAAGGUCUGCAUUGGAUACAUGAAAUGGAGAUGGCCUGUAGACUGUCUGAUGGAACGAUUUAUUCGAAGGAACAUCUAGACCCGAAAAACCGGCGGUGCAGCCUUGUUGAAGUUCACAGGUGUCGUCUAACGGCACCAUUGAUCUGAUUUCGGUUGUGCAAGAAACGUUCUCCGAUCCGAACCGAGUGCAAGAGGUCCAAGUGUGGGACAUAGCUCUUUGUGCCAUGUGACUCGUCUUUUCAAAUAUCCUACCAAAUAGCCCAUGCAUCCUGUAGGAAACAAGACCAAUCAAACAGUUAAUAAUCAAACAACAUACAAAAAUCAUGAGUAAAGGGAGUCAUUACAUUUUCAGGAAGGGUUCCGACUACGAGUUUCUUCGAUGUCGGUGUUGAGUCCGAUGUCGAAGGUAGCUAGAAUUCAUGCAUCAUCCAAUCGGUUUACAUCCCUUUAGCAGCUCUGCCUCUAUAGAACACAAGAGACUUCUUCAAACCAAUACAGUCGAUGCCAUCAGAUGAGUAGAUACGCUUAUCUGUUCCGGUAGCCUUCCGAAGCCCGGCUCCGGUGACUCGGUUCGGCCUUGCAUUGUUUCAAUAUUUCUGGUCCCUCGGACAGUAGAAAUACCACUCUUUCUCCCCCGACAGCCAGCUGUGCUCAUACAAAGAAAAAUAAGCAACAUCAAACUAGAAAAAAAUCAACGUCUUAUA